rnacentral:rRNA from 1 species
UACGUAGGGUGCAAGCGUUAAUCGGAAUUACUGGGCGUAAAGCGUGCGCAGGCGGUUGUGUAAGACAGAUGUGAAAUCCCCGGGCUCAACCUGGGAACUGCAUUUGUGACUGCAUCGCUGGAGUGCGGCAGAGGGGGAUGGAAUUCCGCGUGUAGCAGUGAAAUGCGUAGAUAUGCGGAGGAACACCGAUGGCGAAGGCAAUCCCCUGGGCCUGCACUGACGCUCAUGCACCAAAGCGUGGGGAGCAAACAGG